rnacentral:rRNA from 1 species
GUGCCAGCAGCCGCGGUAAUACGGAGGGGGUUAGCGUUGUUCGGAAUUACUGGGCGUAAAGCGCGCGUAGGCGGAUUGGAAAGUUGGGGGUGAAAUCCCGGGGCUCAACCCCGGAACUGCCUCCAAAACUCCCAGUCUUGAGUUCGAGAGAGGUGAGUGGAAUUCCGAGUGUAGAGGUGAAAUUCGUAGAUAUUCGGAGGAACACCAGUGGCGAAGGCGGCUCACUGGCUCGAUACUGACGCUGAGGUGCGAAAGUGUGGGGAGCAAACAGGAUUAGAUACCCGCGUAGUCCC